CCUACGGGAGGCAGCAGUGGGGAAUAUUGGACAAUGGGGGGAACCCUGAUCCAGCGACGCCGCGUGAGUGAAGAAGUAUUUCGGUAUGUAAAGCUCUAUCAGCAGGGAAGAAAAUGACGGUACCUGACUAAGAAGCCCCGGCUAACUACGUGCCAGCAGCCGCGGUAAUACGUAGGGGGCAAGCGUUAUCCGGAUUCACUGGGUGUAAAGGGAGCGUAGACGGCGAGACAAGUCUGGAGUGAAAGGCCGGGGCCCAACCCCGGGACUGCUCUGGAAACUGCCUGGCUGGAGUACAGCAGAGGUAA
rnacentral:rRNA from 1 species